GUACACGCUGUGACUAGCAUAUCAAUAAGCGGAGGAAAAGAAACUAACAAGGAUUCCCCUUAGUAACGGCGAGUGAAGCGGGAAGAGCUCAAAUUUGAAAUCUUGAAAGGUCACCUUUCACGAAUUGUAGUUUAAAGAAGUGUUUUCUGUUACGAUCGUAAUAUAAGUUCUUUGGAAUAGGACAUCACAGAGGGUGAGAAUCCCGUCUAUGAUUGCGAUUUGUAGCUUUGUGAUACACUUUCAAAGAGUCGGGUUGUUUGGGUAUGCAGCCCAAAACGGGAGGUAAAUUUCUUCUAAAGCUAAAUAUUGGCGAGAGACCGAUAGCGAACAAGUACCGUGAGGGAAAGAUGAAAAGAACUUUGAAAAGAGAGUUAAAUAGUACGUGAAAUUGUCAAAAGGGAAGCGUUUAACACCAGUGUUGUUUUCUGAAAAUCAACCUCUGUUAGCUUUAUGCAUGUUUGUUUAGACCUAAUCAGCUAUCUUGCAUGUUCUAUUGUUUGCAGUGGUGCACUUUUCAGUUUACAGGUCAACAUCAGUUUUUUUUACCGUAAAAAAGUUAAAGAAAGAUAGCUCAUGGCUCCGGUCGUGAGUGUUAUAGUCUUUUUCCUAUGCGGUAGGAGAGACUGAGGUCUGCAGUGUAGGCUAUUUGGCUAGAUACUCAGGUGCUAUGUGAUACCAUUUCAUAAACAACUUGUUGAUUAUGUUUUGUCUAUUGCAUACUCGCUUGUACUAUCAUACCUACGCUUAGGAUGUUGACGCAUGAGAUAUACGC
rnacentral:rRNA from 1 species